rnacentral:rRNA from 1 species
UAGGGAAUCUUCCACAAUGGACGCAAGUCUGAUGGAGCAACGCCGCGUGAGUGAAGAAGGCUUUCGGGUCGUAAAACUCUGUUGUUGGAGAAGAAUGGUCGGCAGAGUAACUGUUGUCGGCGUGACGGUAUCCAACCAGAAAGCCACGGCUAACUACGUGCCAGCAGCCGCGGUAAUACGUAGGUGGCAAGCGUUAUCCGGAUUUAUUGGGCGUAAAGCGAGCGCAGGCGGUUUUUUAAGUCUGAUGUGAAAGCCCUCGGCUUAACCGAGGAAGUGCAUCGGAAACUGGGAAACUUGAGUGCAGAAGAGGACAGUGGAACUCCAUGUGUAGCAGUGAAAUGCGUAGAUAUAUGGAAGAACACCAGUGGCGAAGGCGGCUGUCUGGUCUGUAACUGACGCUGAGGCUCGAAAGCAUGGGUAGCGAACAGGAUUAGAUACCCUGGUAGUCCAUGCCGUAAACGAUGAAUGCUAGGUGUUGGAGGGUUUCC